GUAGGGAAUCUUCGGCAAUGGGGGCAACCCUGACCGAGCAACGCCGCGUGAGUGAAGAAGGUUUUCGGAUCGUAAAGCUCUGUUGUAAGUCAAGAACGGGUGUGAGAGUGGAAAGUUCACACUGUGACGGUAGCUUACCAGAAAGGGACGGCUAACUACGUGCCAGCAGCCGCGGUAAUACGUAGGUCCCGAGCGUUGUCCGGAUUUAUUGGGCGUAAAGCGAGCGCAGGCGGUUUGAUAAGUCUGAAGUUAAAGGCUGUGGCUCAACCAUAGUUCGCUUUGGAAACUGUCAAACUUGAGUGCAGAAGGGGAGAGUGGAAUUCCAUGUGUAGCGGUGAAAUGCGUAGAUAUAUGGAGGAACACCGGUGGCGAAAGCGGCUCUCUGGUCUGUAACUGACGCUGAGGCUCGAAAGCGUGGGGAGCGAACAGGAUUAGAUACCCUGGUAGUCCACGCCGUAAACGAUGAGUGCUAGGUGUUGGAUCCUUUCCGGGAUUCAGUGCCGCAGCUAACGCAUUAAGCACUCCCGCCUGGGGAGUACGACCGCAAGGUUGAAACUCUAAAGUGAAUU
rnacentral:rRNA from 1 species